rnacentral:rRNA from 1 species
AGCGAACGCUGGCGGCAGGCCUAACACAUGCAAGUCGAGCGCCCCGCAAGGGGAGCGGCAGACGGGAGAGUAACACGUGGGAACGUACCCUUUGGUUCGGAACAACCCAGGGAAACUUGGGCUGAUACCGGAUAAGCCCUCACGGGGAAAGAUUUAUCGCCGAAGGAUCGGCCCGCGUCUGAUUAGCUAGUUGGUGAGGUAACGGCUCACCAAGGCGACGAUCAGUAGCUGGUCUGAGAGGAUGAUCAGCCUCACUGGGACUGAGACACGGCCCAGACUCCUACGGGAGGCAGCAGUGGGGAAUAUUGGACAAUGGGCGAAAGCCUGACGCAGCGACGCCGCGUGCGGGAAGAAGGCCUUCGGGUUGUAAACCGCUUUCAGGAGGGACGAAGCCACUCGGGUUAAUAGCCCAGAGGGUGACGGUACCUCCAGAAGAAGCCCCGGCUAAC